rnacentral:rRNA from 1 species
GAUGAACGCUGGCGGCGUGCCUAACACAUGCAAGUCGAACGGAGUCGUUUUGGCAAUCUCUUCGGAGAUGGAAUUCUCGACUUAGUGGCGGACGGGUGAGUAACGCGUGAGCAAUCUGCCUUUAAGAGGGGGAUAACAGUCGGAAACGGCUGCUAAUACCGCAUAAAGCAUUAAAUUCGCAUGUUUUUGAUGCCAAAGGAGCAAUCCGCUUUUAGAUGAGCUCGCGUCUGAUUAGCUAGUUGGCGGGGUAACGGCCCACCAAGGCGACGAUCAGUAGCCGGACUGAGAGGUUGAACGGCCACAUUGGGACUGAGACACGGCCCAGACUCCUACGGGAGGCAGCAGUGGGGAAUAUUGCGCAAUGGGGGAAACCCUGACGCAGCAACGCCGCGUGAUUGAAGAAGGCCUUCGGGUUGUAAAGAUCUUUAAUCAGGGACGAAACAAAUGACGGUACCUGAAGAAUAAGCUCCGGCUAACUACGUG